CAGGCACGAUGGCUCGUCCCUGUAGUCCCAUCUACUUGGGAGACUGAAGAAAGAGGGUCACUUGAGCCAGGAGUUCAGGGCUGCAGUGCGCUGUGCCAAUAUCUGCACUAAGUUCAGCUUUAAUAUGGUGACCUUCUGGGAAUGAGAGACCACCAGUUUGCCUAAGGAGGGGUGAAUUGGCCCAAGUGAGGAGCGGAACAGUUCAAAAUUCCCAUGCUGGUCAAUAGUGAGAACAUGCCUGUGAAUAGCCACUGCAUUUACAGCUGGGUAACAUAGCAAGACUCCAUCUAUU
rnacentral:SRP_RNA from 1 species